AGUGCCUCUGAUUAACCCCAAAUAAAGUUGGACUGUUCUAGUAAGCUUUUCCUGACAUUUUUGCAGUCACAUAUUACAGUACAAGACAUUGUCUGCAGAGAGCUUCCAAAGCAUCAGUGGGAUCUCAUUGUUCAAAGGUAUCAGUCAGAAGUAGGCUACAAAAGAAUUUCCAAGGCAUUAAAUAUACUAUGGAACACACUGAAAACUGUCAU